rfam:Capsicum annuum cultivar Zunla-1 chromosome 7, whole genome shotgun sequence
AUGCUGGUGAUGUGGACAAUCUUGAAGAAGAGCUUUGAACCUCUCCCAAGCAUAAUAUAGGUUCUUAUCUAGCAUUUGCUUGAAGCUUAAAAUCUUACUACAAAGUUU